GGCGGGGUUACCCGCUGAGUUUAA
rnacentral:rRNA from 1 species